AAGCAUUGAUCAAGUGUGGGGUUCCAUGUGAAGUGCUCUUUCAGUUGCAUGCCUGGGGAAUUGGCUAUGGGUUCUCUGCAGAGAUGGGAAAUACCACAGCCUGUCUGAAUCUGUCACAGCUUAUGCCCCUUGGGCAUGAAGGCAGGAGCCUGCAGCUCAUGGCCUCACAUACUUUCUUGUGAAAAUGAGUCCUGCAGCUUCUAGUCGUUAGUCCUCUAGCCAGAGAUCAUCGAAUCUAGUCUAUAGGGAUGGAGGCGCUGAUGCCUUGACACUCCUUCUGCUAUCUUGUCUUUCCUCUCCUUCCAGCAACAAAACCAAGCCUUUGUGCACAUCUGUGGUUGUGACCAGUUGGAGAGACAUUAGGAGAUGAGAUACUAUGUUCACUCCUCACAGCUGUACCAGGGACCUGAGAUAUUCCGUCACUAUUCUAUGAGCCUGGGCUGGUGAAUGGUUCCUGCUUUCACUAUUCCAGAUGUCCAGCUCUGUACCUUGCUGCUCUCCUUAAAGCCUGCCUCCCUCUAGGGAGCUAUGGUGCAUUACUCACGAGUGACAGAACCAACGAGCUUCAUCUCCCAAGAGGCUGGUGCAUCUGUUUAAAGGAGCAGGCACUAGGCAGAGCAGCCCCCACCCCACCCUCCAUGGCAGAGUGCAGUGGGGGAAGGGAUGGGAUUUCACCAUGUUGUCCAAGCUGGUUUUGAACUCCUGGGGUCAAGAAAUCCACCUGCUUCGGCCUCCCACAGUGCUGGGAUUACAGGUGUGAGCCCCUGCACCCAGCCUAAUUAAGUUUUGAAUAUCUUAUCCCUAUCAAUGACUUGUCUUUUCAUUCCUCUAACGUUCUUAAUUUUGAUCAAGUCCAAUUUAUCUUUUCUCUCCUUUAUAGAUUGUGCUUUUGGUGUUACAUCUAAGAAAUCUUUGCUUUUGAUUAUUUUAAAAAUUGAUUUUCUCAUCAAGUAAAAGAAAAUGUACUUUCAAGUUCCUUUAAGUAUAUCCACGUUGCCUAGGCAACCAAGUUAUUUAUCAAUAGGUGAUCAUUUGUAAUGAUUUGUUAAUAAAGG
rnacentral:lncRNA from 10 species